rnacentral:rRNA from 1 species
CAGCAGUGAGGAAUAUUGGUCAAUGGACGCAAGUCUGAACCCAGCCAUGCCGCGUGCAGGAAGACGGCUCCUAUGAGUUGUAAACUGCUUUUGUACGAGGGUAAACCCGGAUACGUGUAUCCAGCUGAAAGUACCGUACGAAUAAGGAUCGGCUUAACUCCGUGCCAGCAGCCGCGGUAAUACGGAGGAUCCAAGCGUUAUCCGGAUUUAUUGGGUUUAAAGGGUGCGUAGGCGGUUUGUUAAGUUAGAGGUGAAAUCCCCGUGGCUCAACCACGGAACUGCCUCUGAUACUGGCAGGCUAGAGAAUGGUUGCUGUGGGCGGAAUGUGUGGUGUAGCGGUGAAAUGCUUAGAGAUCACACAGAACACCGAUUGCGAAGGCAGCUCACAAAGCCAUAUCUGACGCUGAGGCACGAAAGCGUGGGGAGCAAACAGGAUUAGAUACCCUGGUAGUCCACGCCGUAAACGAUGAUAACUCGUUGCCGGCGAUAUAAUGUCGGUGACUUAGGGAAAGCGAUAAGUUAUCCACCUGGGGAGUACGUCCGCUUAAUGAAACUCAAAGGAAUUGACGG